AGUGAACGCUGGCGGUAGGCCUAACACAUGCAAGUCGAACGGCAGCACAGUAAGAGCUUGCUCUUACGGGUGGCGAGUGGCGGACGGGUGAGGAAUACAUCGGAAUCUACUUUUUCGUGGGGGAUAACGUAGGGAAACUUACGCUAAUACCGCAUACGACCUACGGGUGAAAGCAGGGGAUCUUCGGACCUUGCGCGAUUGAAUGAGCCGAUGUCGGAUUAGCUAGUUGGCGGGGUAAAGGCCCACCAAGGCGACGAUCCGUAGCUGGUCUGAGAGGAUGAUCAGCCACACUGGAACUGAGACACGGCCCAGGCUCCUACGGGAGGCAGCAGUGGGGAAUAUUGGACAAUGGGCGCAAGCCUGAUCCAGCCAUACCGCGUGGGUGAAGAAGGCCUUCGGGUUGUAAAGCCCUUUUGUUGGGAAAGAAAAGCAGCAGGUUAAUACCCCGCUGUUCUGACGGUACCCAAAGAAUAAGCACCGGCUAACUUCGUG
rnacentral:rRNA from 1 species